AUUGAACGCUGGCGGCAUGCCUAACACAUGCAAGUCGAACGACUGGCGGACGGGUGAGUUAUUUCUUGGCAACUGCCUGAUGGAUGCGUAUAACUACUGGAAACGGUAGCUAAUACCGCAUACCAUCUGAUGUGCCCAGAUGGGAUUAGCUAGUAGGUGGGGUAACGGCUAACCUAGGCGACUAUCCCUAGCUGGUCUGAGAGGAUGACCAGCAACACUGGAACUGAGACACGGUCCAGACUCCUACGGGAGGCAGCAGUGGGGAAUGUUGCACAAUGGGGGAAAGCCUGAUCGAGCCAUGCCGCGUGUGUGAAGAAGGCCUUCGGGUUGUAAAGUACUUUUGGCAGGAAAGCGUUACCCAAAGAGGAAGCACCGGCUAACUACGUGCCAGCAGCCGCGGUAAUAC
rnacentral:rRNA from 1 species